ensembl:lncRNA
GCAGUGUGGCUGGGCUGGUCUUGUCUGGCCUGGCUGUUGCAGGGUCCAGGGAGGCACAACUUGUCAAGUCGUGGCGGUUUUAGACUUUUAGUCAGCUGGUUGUCUGGCUGGAGGUUGCGGCUGUGGGAGCGUGGCUGGCGCAUUGUGUGUGUGGCGUCCCGUGUGCUGCACGGAGGGUGUUUGGUGUCUCGCCAUUCCGCAUCAGCGACGACUCCUGCCUGCCUGCCGACUGAGGUUGGAGGCGGAAGCGUGGCCUUCAAGCCGGUGCAGAUCGCCUUAUGCGUAGCAUUCAAUUCCUACGGCUGUCAGCUUUGACACUAAAGGAGAAGAAGCGCGGACCCCCUCGUCAGCCUCUCCGCGCACUCCUCUGAAGUCGUUUCACGGCACAGAGAGAGUUCAUUCUAAAAAGGAGAUGGCACAGUUGGAAAGUUUCAGGGCAGACUGCGCAAACGCGAUUUUUUGUUGUGAUUGGCCGUGACGCAGUGACAUGAGAGGCGCUCUAAGGUGGACAGGCAGGCAGACAGACAGACAUGCCGAACAGAAGAGGCGUCCCUCAGGAGGGAGGACUCACAGACAGAGACAGACAGUUCUCCAGGGUCGAGAUGCUAAACAUUUCCCACUACAGCUCUCUGGCCUUUUCAGAGAUUCAGCUUGGGAAACAACACACACUCACACACACAACUACACGGAAUGGAAACGUUAUGAGGAGUAAAGGUCAUUCAUUUUAUAUAAACAUAUACUUAUAUUGCUGACAUACUCAAACUGCAGCGAUAUUUUCUUGAAAACGGUAUGAAACUCUAACCCCUAAAUUGUGAC